rnacentral:misc_RNA from 1 species
AACGCACGAGACCUGCGGACCUGCGGAGGGAUCAUUAAUGUUACCUCAUCCAACUUGCUUCUGGUGAUCGUCUCUUUUGGACGGUUGCCAGCAAGCAAAGCACCCGUGACAAAGUUAAAGUCCUUAACAGCAUCCGGCUCUGCUGGACCUGCUGUUAAAGCACCUUCAAUAAUUACGUCUAAAUCAGUGAGCUCUUGAUUUCUUUCAAGAGCGAUUCCGUAAUUAAAUAAGACACAACUU